rnacentral:misc_RNA from 1 species
GUGAAUCAUCGAAUUUUUGAACGCAAAUUGCACUCUCUUCGGAGAGUAUGCCUGUUUGAGGGUCAGCCUAAAAAAAAAUCGACAUAGCCGCUGUUUCGCGGUGACAUUCGUCGGAAAUUGGGUCAUCUUAAACCUUUGGGUUUUAAUCGGCUUAAAAUUUUCUUUACGAUUCAUCGAACGUUUCUAAGAUUUUAUUUCUUACAGGUUUAUGGUAUCGAUCUUUUUUAGAUGUAGCUGU